GAUUGUAGUCUGCAACUCGACUACAUGAAGCUGGAAUCGCUAGUAAUCGCAAAUCAGAAUGUUGCGGUGAAUACGUUCCCGGGUCUUGUACACACCGCCCGUCACACCAUGGGAGUCGGAAAUGCCCGAAGUCUGUGACCCAACGAAAGAGGGAGCAGCCGAAGGUAGGUCUGAUAACUGGGGUGAAGUCGUAACAAGGUACC
rnacentral:rRNA from 1 species